rfam:Eucalyptus grandis cultivar BRASTZ1 unplaced genomic scaffold scaffold_11, whole genome shotgun sequence.
CCGCACGAUGCAUACCCCGGGCUUCUCCGAGUUUCAGGACGCUGACGAUGGCAAGCCCCAAUGCUCGUGCUAGAUCGAGGCGCCGUUCGUGUUGCAGUCUAGCUUCACUUCUGUGUCCGUAGCUUGAGCUGUGUCAAUUCAAACGGCUACAUCU